rnacentral:misc_RNA from 1 species
UAUUGACUGUUACUUGCUUGAGAUUCUUGUUGAUUGUACUUGCUUGUGAUUCUUAUAGAUGGUAUUUGCUUGAGAUUGUUACGGUGUAACUUGCUUGGGAUUGCUGUUGGACUUGAGGAAUUGUUGUUGUUUCCUUUAGUUAAUGCCCGGAAGCGGGCAUAGAAGGUCAUCCAACUCAAUAAAAUCUCCUUCUAAAAUGGCAAUCAGUUCCUGAGCAGAAUAAUCAUUGAGAAUUGGAGGUCCGUUGCUCUCAAGACAAAUCUGCUUAGCAACAUUUUCUGCAACAACUUGACCAUUUAAGUCGGGAACUAACCCACUAGGUAACUUUGAGACAUCAUUCUCCUGGUCAAUCAUGUUUUCAUCAUGCAUUUUAGAGCCAGUAACCAAUGCAGCUGAUCCAUCAAAUUGAAUACCUAUAUGGCGUACUGUCGCAACAAUUUCUUCACCAUUGGAACUGAAUACAUGCCCUGACAAGUUAUUUCCAUGAUGAGAUUUGAUGAAUACUCGGCAUAGAACAAAAGAUGCCAUAGGAUGACCAGUUAAGGCGUACUCAUACAUCAACCAAUCAGUCUUAGUACAAUCCCCCAAAUAAAAUUCAAA